UACGGAGGGGGCUAGCGUUGUUCGGAAUUAUUGGGCGUAAAGCGCACGUAGGCGGCUUUGUAAGUCAGUGGUGAAAUCUCCGAGCUUAACUCGGGAACUGCCGUUGAUACUAUUUGUCUUGAAUAUUGUGGAGGUAAGCGGAAUAUGUCAUGUAGCGGUGAAAUGCUUAGAUAUGACAUAGAACACCAAUUGCGAAGGCAGCUUACUAGACAACCAUUGACGCUGAGGCACGAAAGCGUGGGGAUCAAACAGG
rnacentral:rRNA from 1 species